UACGUAGGGUGCAAGCGUUAAUCGGAAUUACUGGGCGUAGAGCGUGCGCAGGCGGCUCUUUAAGACAGAUGUGAAAUCCCCGGGCUUAACCUGGGAACUGCAUUUGUGACUGCACAGCUAGAGUACGGCAGAGGGGGAUGGAAUUCCGCGUGUAGCAGUGAAAUGCGUAGAUAUGCGGAGGAACACCGAUGGCGAAGGCAGUCCCCUGGGCCUGUACUGACGCUCAUGCACGAAAGCGUGGGGAGCGAACAGG
rnacentral:rRNA from 1 species